ensembl:lncRNA
AUGGAUGGUCAAGUACAAUUAGUGGCUAUUUGCUCCAUCUGUAAGCUUGCGAUCUGCACUGCAUUGCGCUGUGUAAACGGGUUUAACUGCACAGCUAUCAAAUUAAACCUUGUUAGCGCAAGUAUGCUCAGUGCUCUUUAUAGGCUUGUAUUCUCAGCCAUAAACAGGAGACCAGACUACUGACAAUUCAUUCUUCACACACACAUGAAGCCAUCUGAGAGACUAGAGACCGAGGGGCUUCGUUCAGUAGUUAUCCGUGCAGACCAUCUAAAUGGGGCCCACAGUCCUCUUCCCUGUCUAUUUUUAGCUUGGUGACAACAGGUGAUAUAUUUCCCUUCUGAUCUAUAUCUGGAGUUAUUUGGCUAAAAAUAGACGUGGUCACCGGCGUGGCGAGAUAUGGGUAGUAACAGCACAGGUACGUGGGGAGAUAUAGGUAGUAACAGCACAGGUACGUGGUCACAGGCGUGGGGGGAUAUAGGUGGUAACAGCACAGGUACGUGGGGGGAUAUAGGUGGUAACAGCACAGGUACGUGGUCAAAGGCGUGGGGGGAUAUGGGUAGUAACAGCACAGGUACGCUGACAAAGGCCCCCUGAGACGCACAAUCUCACAGGUGUGUGACGGUAGUACACACUGCAAAAGAAAACAGACACGAAAGCACCUACCAAAGCACA